rnacentral:piRNA from 1 species
UUGUAUGCCUGGCACGAACCUUCCAUCUUGC